rnacentral:lncRNA from 1 species
AUCACUAGAAUGAAAAUAAAUGUAUACAAAAGUGAAUAAACCCAUAAUAGCAAGAUAAUAGGAGUAAGGGCCAACAGUGAACUAAGGCUAUUAAUACAAUUCUGGCAGACAAAAAGCAGAUGUGUGUGGUGACAAGGGAGACAAAGCAGAAAUAACUACAAGCCAGAAUAACAGAGACUCUGUUUAAAAAGCCAUAUCUGGGGCAAUUUUCUGGGGGCUCCAGGAAGAGGCGCCGCAUAGCGUCAGCAAGGACUCAAAAGGAGCACUUCCCAGUGAAGCAAAAGAGUGGCGUAAUAAUUGGAGAACCCUCACGACGUGUCAGCCCCACCACGGCCCCAUAAAUGUAGCAUGAGUGCGAGCUUGAAAUUUGUAACAUGAGAUGAAAACUGGAGAAGCAUCCCUAAAAUAUAUGAACCAAUCUGCCUAGAAAUAGCUAGGAAUCUGCCACCAGAAAGAUGAAUAAAAUAAAAGAUUGAAGAAGUAGCAAGUAGCAGUAUGGAAGACUUGUGGCUAAGAUAUGUGUCUUGGGAAAAAGAAGGGCUGAAUGUUAACACAACUAAGGGUCUCACUGAUUCCCCAAUGAAGCAACUUCACGGGGGAACCCCUCUAAGAGAUUUUCUCUCUGCAUUCACAGAAGACACUUCGCACUGUUAUGCACCAGGAGGAUUGACUGUCUCUGUGGCUUGGAGGCAGUUAUACGUAGCAGCAGCAGCAGCAGCAGCAGCAAAAGUUAACAGGAGCCGGAGUCUGUCUUCAAAGAGCAGUCAGUAGAGAUGAAGAGUAGAUUACUGAUUCCAUAGUACAUGUCAGAUACUGCCUAGGGACUUCCUAAGUAGAGGUCAAGGUCCCACUGUUAUACAGUGUAUAAAUUCACAGAAGUCAGAAGCUGAAUGCAGUCACAAAGAGAGCAAAGCACUUUGUAAAGUGAACUCAAUACCCCCGUUGGGGCUCAGAAAACAGUACCCCAAAGUGAAGUCCUCAGAAGCAGCCCCAAAAGUAAAGUCUCUGACCUUCUCCUACCCUCCCAUCCUCUCUCCCUUCCUUCUCCACUGAGGCAAGAUAGAAACUAAAAUUCCUCUUCCCCAAGGAACCCCGCCUUUUUGUGUAACAGUUGGCCAUAAAGAAAUUAAGACCUUCAUUCCAGAGAGUCCUAUUGCAUGCCUGAGAGGGAGGAAGGCUGCACAGAGACGCCAAGAAGCUGGACAGUCCUUGCUGGGUUUCCCCACUCAGUCUUUAAGCAUUCGAUCAUACCCCUUCUGUCCAGUUGUAUUUUACAUGGCUGUCCAUACAUCAUUGAAUGUCAGUGUAAAAAUGGAUUGUUUUCCCUGUAUCUUUGGGUCUUUAUUCUGAAGUCUCUUUUAAAACUAUGAUCAA